GACGAACGCUGGCGGCGUGCCUAAUACAUGCAAGUCGAGCGAAUCGAUGGGAGCUUGCUCCCUGAGAUUAGCGGCGGACGGGUGAGUAACACGUGGGCAACCUGCCUAUAAGACUGGGAUAACUUCGGGAAACCGGAGCUAAUACCGGAUACGUUCUUUUCUCGCAUGAGAGAAGAUGGAAAGACGGUUUACGCUGUCACUUAUAGAUGGGCCCGCGGCGCAUUAGCUAGUUGGUGAGGUAAUGGCUCACCAAGGCGACGAUGCGUAGCCGACCUGAGAGGGUGAUCGGCCACACUGGGACUGAGACACGGCCCAGACUCCUACGGGAGGCAGCAGUAGGGAAUCUUCCGCAAUGGACGAAAGUCUGACGGAGCAACGCCGCGUGAACGAAGAAGGCCUUCGGGUCGUAAAGUUCUGUUGUUAGGGAAGAACAAGUACCAGAGUAAC
rnacentral:rRNA from 2 species